CUAUGCUUAGCCGUAAACCUGGACAUUAAGGCACAAUAAAAUGUUCGCCAGGGUACUACGAGCAUUAGCUUGAAACCCAAAGGGACUGACGGUGUCUCAGAACCCCCUAGAGGAGCCUGUCCUAUAACCGAUAUUCCCCGUUCAACCUCACCACUUCUGGUCAUCCCAGCCUAUAUACCGCCGUCAACAGCUUACCCUGUGAAGGAUUUAUAAGUAAGCAUAACGGGUACCGCCCAUACGUCAGGUCGAGGUGUAGCGCAUGAAGUGGGAAGAGAUGGGCUACAUUUUCUACAAUAGAAUAUUACGAAUAUGCACCAUGAAACAGUGCUUGAAGGAGGAUUUAGUAGUAAGAGAGAAGUA
rnacentral:rRNA from 1 species